CACAGAAUCUCUCUCUCCCACAUAAGACCCCAAGUCAUGGGAUCUCCGACUCUCAGAGGUUCAGGGCUGCAGUGUCCCAUCCCAACUGGACCAACCUAUGACCCAACAGGACACAAAGAAGGGACAGAAGUGGGACAAAAUGGAGUCAUGGCCACAUUUCGGGCCACCGCAAUGACUCACAACCCCAAAACCCUAUGGGGCAGAUCCUAUAGGGUCAAGGAUGGUUUGGACCUGGCUGUGGCGCGUCCGAUCCCAAUUGGACCAACCCGUGACCCAACAGGACACAAAAAAGGGACAGAAGUGGGACGAAACGGACUCAUGGCCGCAUCGCGGUCCACCGCAACGACUCACAACCCCAAAACCCUAUGGGGCAGAUCCUAUAGGGUCAGGGAUGGUUUGGACCAGGGCUGUGGCGCGUCCGAUCCCAAUUGGACCAACGUAUGACCCAACAGGACACAAAAAAGGGACAGAAGUGGGACAAAAUGGAGUCAUGGCCACAUUUUGGUCCACCGCAAUGACUCACAACCCCAAAACCCUAUGGGGCAGAUCCUAUAGGGUCAGGGAUGGGAUGGGAUUGGUUCAGGGCUGCGGUGUCCCAUCCCAACUGGACCAACCUGUGACCCAACAGAACACAAAAAAGGGACAGAAGUGGGACAAAAUGGAGUCAUGGCCACAUUUCGGGCCACCGCAACAACUCACAACCCCAAAACCCUAUGGGACAGAUCCUAUAGGGUCAGGGAUGGGAUUGGUUCAGGGCUGCGGUGUCCCAUCCCAACGGGACCAACCCGCGACCCAACAGAACUCAAGAAAGGGACAGAAGUGGGACAAAACGGACUCACGGCCACAUUUCGGUCGCACCNNNNNNNNNNNNNNNNNNNNNNNNNNNNNNNNNNNNNNNNNNNNNNNNNNNNNNNNNNNNNNNNNNNNNNNNNNNNNNNNNNNNNNNNNNNNNNNNNNNNGCGGAAAUGUGGGGGCCACCAAAUGGGAUGUGGGUGGGGAGGGACGGAGAUGUGGUGACCUCCUAAUGGGGAGGAGUGGGUUGGUUGUGAGUAAAGCAGGGAGUAAACCAUGAGUAAAGGAUGAGUAGCGAUGAAAUGGGAUCCAGAAGGAAUUAUAGGGUCCGAGUGUUCUCUAUGGGAUGGGGGUGGGGAGGGAUGGAGAUGCUGGGACCACCAAAUGGGUCGGUUGUGAGUAAAGCAGGGAGUAAACCAUGAGUAAAGUACGAGUAGCGAUGAAAUGGGAUCCAGAAGGAAUUAUAGGGUCCGAGUGUUCUCUAUGGGGUGAGGGUGGGGAGGGACGGAGGUGUUGAGACCACCAAAUGGGGAGAGGAGUGGGUCAGUUGUGAGUAAAGCAGGGAGUAAACCAUGAGUAAAGUAUGAGUAGCUAUGAAAUGGGAUCCGGAAGGGAUUAUAGGGUCCAAGUGUUCUCUAUGGGAGGGAGAUGGGAGGGACGGAGAUGUGGGGACCACCAAAUGGGGAGAGGAGUGGGUUGGCUGUGGGUAAAGCAGGGAGUAAACCAUGAGUAAAGUAUGAGUAGUGAUGAAAUGGGAUCCAGAAGGGAUUAUAGGGUCUGAGUGUUCUCUAUGGGAUGGAAAUGAGGAGGGAUGGAGAUGUUGAGACCACCAUAUGGGUCGGUUGUGAGUAAAGCAGGGAGUAAACCAUGAGUAAAGUACGAGUAGCGAUGAAAUGGGAUCCAGAAGGAAUUAUAGGUUCCGAGUGUUCUCUAUGGGAGGGAGGGUGGGGAGGGACGGAGAUGUGGGGACCACCAAAUGGGGAGAGGAGUGGGUUGGCUGUGGGUAAAGCAGGGAGUAAACCAUGAGUAAAGUAUGAGUAGCGAUGAAAUGGGAUCCAGAAGGGAUUAGAGGAGCUGAGUGUUCUCUAUGGGAUGGAGAUGAUGGGGGGGGGGGGGGGGAAAUGGGGGGGCCACCAAAUGGGAUGUGGGUGGGGAGGGACGGAGAUGUGGUGACCUCCUAAUGGGGAGGAGUGGGUUGGUUGUGGGUAAAGCAGGGAGUAAACCAUGAGUAAAGUAUGAGUAGUGAU
rnacentral:lncRNA from 7 species